AGUGAACGCUGGCGGUAGGCCUAACACAUGCAAGUCGAACGGCAGCACAGUAAGAGCUUGCUCUUACGGGUGGCGAGUGGCGGACGGGUGAGGAAUACAUCGGAAUCUACUUUUUCGUGGGGGAUAACGUAGGGAAACUUACGCUAAUACCGCAUACGACCUACGGGUGAAAGCAGGGGAUCUUCGGACCUUGCGCGAUUGAAUGAGCCGAUGUCGGAUUAGCUAGUUGGCGGGGUAAAGGCCCACCAAGGCGACGAUCCGUAGCUGGUCUGAGAGGAUGAUCAGGCACACUGGAACUGAGACACGGGUCAGACUCCUAAGGGAGGCAGCAGUGGGGAAUAUUGGACAAUGGGCGCAAGCCUGAUCCAGCCAUACCGCGUGGGUGAAGAAGGCCUUCGGGUUGUAAAGCCCUUUUGUUGGGAAAGAAAAGCAGCAGGUUAAUACCCCGCUGUUCUGACGGUACCCAAAGAAUAAGCACCGGCUAACUUCGUG
rnacentral:rRNA from 1 species